rnacentral:rRNA from 1 species
AUUGAACGCUGGCGGCAUGCAUUACACAUGCAAGUCGAACGGCAGCAUGGAGAGCUUGCUCUCUGAUGGCGAGUGGCGAACGGGUGAGAAAAGCAUCGGAACGUACCGUGUAGUGGGGGAUAACGUAGCGAAAGUUACGCUAAUACCACUGACGCACUAAUGUUGAAAGCAGGGGAUCGUACGGCCUUGCGCUAUACGAGCGGCCGAUGUCAGAUUAGCUAGUUGGUAGGGUAAAGGCCUACCAAGGCGUCGAUCUGUAGCGGGUCUGAGAGGAUGAUCCGCCACACUGGGACUGAGACACGGCCCAGACUCCUACGGGAGGCAGCAGUGGGGAAUUUUGGACAAUGGGGGCAACCCUGAUCCAGCCAUGCCGCGUGAGUGAAGAAGGCCUUCGGGUUGUAAAGCUCUUUCGGCCGGGAAGAAAUCGCACAGGCUAAUACCCUGUGUGGAUGACGGUACCGGCAUAAGAAGCACCGGCUAACUACGUGCCAGCCGCCGCCGUAA